GGCACCCCGAGUGGUAGCCACUAUUAUUGGGCCUAAAGCGUUCGUAGCCGGUUUGGUAAAUUCUUGGGUAAAUCGUACCGCUUAACGGUGCGGAUUCCGGGGACACUACCAGACUUGAGACUGGGGGAGAUCAGAGGUACUUGCGGGGGAGCGGUGAAAUGUUGUAAUCCCGCAGGGACCACCAGUGGCGAAGGCGUCUGAUCAGAACGGUUCUGACGGUGAGGAACGAAACCCUGGGGCGCAAACGGG
rnacentral:rRNA from 1 species